rnacentral:rRNA from 1 species
AGAGUUUGAUCCUGGCUCAGGAUGAACGCUAGCGGCAGGCUUAAUACAUGCAAGUCGUACGGGAUCCGAGAUAGCAAUAUCUUGGUGAGAGUGGCGCACGGGUGCGUAACACGUAUGCAACCUACCUAUAACCGGGACACAACCUCGAGAAAUUGUGGCUAAUAUCCCAUAACACUGCGAAGUGGCAUCAUUUUGCAGUUAAAACUCCGGUGGUUAUAGAUGGGCAUGCGCGACAUUAGCUAGUUGGUGAGGUAACGGCCCACCAAGGCUACGAUGUCUAGGGGUUCUGAGAGGAUUAUCCCCCACACUGGUACUGAGACACGGACCAGACUCCUACGGGAGGCAGCAGUAAGGAAUAUUGGUCAAUGGGCGCAAGCCUGUACCAGCCAUGCCGCGUGAAGGAUGACGGCCCUAUGGGUUGUAAACUUCUUUUGUACGGGAAAAAACCACCGGUCGUGUAUCGGUGCUGAUGGUACCGUAAGAAUAAGCAUCGGCUAACUCCGUGCCAGCAGCCGCGGUAAUACGGAGGAUGCAAGCGUUAUCCGGAUUCAUUGGGUUUAAAGGGUGCGCAGGCGGAAUAAUAAGUCAGUGGUGAAAUCUCCCCGCUCAACGGGGAAACGGCCAUUGAUACUGUAGGACUUGAAUUAUUAGGAAGUAACUAGAAUAUGUAGUGUAGCGGUGAAAUGCUUAGAGAUUACAUGGAAUACCAAUUGCGAAGGCAGGUUACUACUAAUGGAUUGACGCUGAUGGACGAAAGCGUGGGUAGCGAACAGGAUUAGAUACCCUGGUAGUCC